UCUCCGUAGGUGAACCUGCGGAGGGAUCAUUACUGAGUGAGGGCUCCGGCCCGACCUCCAACCCCAUGUGAACCGAAACCUGUUGCUUCGGGGGCGCCCCUGCCGACGACCUCGUCGCCGAGCGCCCCCGGAGGUCUUCUAAACACUGCAUCUUUGCGUCAGAGUUUAAACAAAUUAAACAAAACUUUCAACAACGGAUCUCUUGGUUCUGGCAUCGAUGAAGAACGCAGC
rnacentral:misc_RNA from 1 species